CAAACGCCGAUUCUCGUACGAUCACCGAAGUUAAGCAACGUCGAGCCUAGCAAGUACCUACAUGGGUGACCGCUUGGAAAUAUCAGAUGAUGCAA